GAAGGUUUGGAUCCAAGUCUGGCAUCUCUUUGACCGCCUCAGGACUCACACUGUAGAUGGAUGCCCCGGCCUCAUUGGUUAUGCUGUUUAAAGGAUUUAGGAAAAAAAAUACCAAAUGAGAGGAGAGACGGGAGAACUUCCUCGGGGCUAAGUGACACAAUAACAGGGUCAAUGACGCUUCGCUCAUGUCCGAGAGUCCAGCCCUGUCCAGCAUUCACACACACAACCUGUACCAGAGGCUUAGAUUGUGCCACAACAACCUUGCCCACCCUUCCAGUCCAUUGUGCUGACAGCUGACAUAUCGCCAUGACGACGCUGCUAACGAGCAUUGGCACAUGACCUUCAAGGAGGUCAAAAGGAUGCUGGUCAUUAACAUGACACGUCUUGCUUCACGUUUAUACUGCAUAAAUAAACAAGUCACAAGCAAGAAAGGAAAACUUUUUAAUAUUUAUUUCAUUUUUUUUCCCAUUGCUUUGGAAUCCAAUUUCAGGUGUUGGUACUAAUAAAUACACUGUUUGACAAAGGCAGUGUUGGAUGAUAAAAAUGAAAACAAAAGCUAGAAGAAUAAAUGACGAAAAAAAACACAUACUAGUGAAUGGUUGAAGAAAAAAUGAAGGCUAUCCAACGAGCCCCAUCACCUCUGUAUUAAUUAAUUAAUGUAUUAAUUAAUGCUGCUGCCGGGGCAUCUCAGUAACAGCAGUGUCAUAGAUACAGCUCUGAGCCCUCUCUGCCACAGCGUCCAUGACUGUCGCCAUGGCGAGGGCAUCACCCUGGCAGACAGCAGAAGGUCAACAGUGGUUGGAUGGCCGAUGUGUGGACAGACACAAAGUCACAGUCUGCCUCCUGGUGCAAAGCGAUGACUUCUGGCCAUUUAGGGUUAUCAUUUAUUCGCGCUUAUGCUUGCUCUCUUAAUUGCACGAACACACACAAACACAUGUCUGCCCUCAGCGCCGUUCCUUCCUAGGGCAAAGUCACAAAAGGGUUGCCCUUUCUCCUUCCCCUUGCUGGGUGAAUUUGAGACACACCCUUGAGCUUGAUACUCAAACACAGACACAUAAUGACUGCCCCAUUUUGCCGCCCCUAAAGAAAGGCAAUAGUGAAGGAGAUGGAUACACAUUUUGAUAUCUCUUUAAAGCCUUUGGGCGCAAUCGGCAUGGGUGUAAAUUCAAAACACCUUCAACGAAUCAGAAAUAGGCCGAUUAUAUCACUAAUGAACCCAAAAACAUAGAAGAACGUUAUAUUUCUUCUUUCAAGUCAUAGCCAUUAGUCUUAACACAGACCACAUAGUUAAUAUUAACUGGGUUUUGUGAGUAUAACCAUGCAACUAUUUAAAAGUUGAAGCGCGGUCACAUGGUUGUGGACACACCUACGAACACACAUUUCACCCAACAGCGCAGACCACCUGGGGAGUCAACCCUCUCGCUUCAGCAUACGUCACACCCCAACCCACUGUGGGCCCCACACUCCUACCUGUAUCCUCUGCUCUGCAUUUAGGAAACAGUCGGAGAGAAAGCGCCGCACUUUUCUACAGACAGCCUCCACUGUGGUGCAAUUGCUUUUCCAGUUUAUUUUUUUUAUAGUUAUUUUGCGAAAAACUGCAGAAACGUAUAUAAUUCCUAAUUAUUCAGGUCUUCUGCAGAUACAAAACCAUAUAGAGGAAGUGGACUAGUUAAAGCGAAAUAUUAACAAUAUUGUCCGAGCACAUUUCUGCAUAAAACAUGGUGACAAACUUUGCACAAAGCCCUGUUGAAAUAGUUUGACCUGGACCUGAUGUCAAGUUCGGCAGGUGGAUGCCUCUCUGCAAACAGAAUGAUGACAGAAUUUUUCUGUCUCCCAAACAUCUACAUCAAUGAGAACUGAUUUCAGCACUUCGGAUGAAGUAUGUGGGAGCCUUUUGACCCCUAUGAACAGUUCAGAGCAUUCCUCAUAUUAUAUAUUCCCUAUGUCAUUCAGAUUCAAUUGGGGAACUAAAGUAAGGGAAUAACAUAACUAUGAAAGGUUUUCUUUGCAUAACAAUAGAGGGCUUCAACUGUUAACCUCUAGAAACACAAUCAUGCAACUUAUAGAUGAAUUUCUGGUCCAACACGGCCCUAUAGUAGGUCCUUGUUGAAUUUGAUGAUAUGCAGAAAAGGGGAUUCAGGUAUAUCAUUGCUCUUGAGGUCUGAAGUUGGUUUAAAAGCCCUGAUUUAGACGUACCAGGGUAGAAAGAACUGAAUGAGAAGAUGGAAAUAUUUUUGCCAAAGCAUUUCUUUGCUGCCAUUGGCAAGUUGCCUGUUUUUCUUUGACCAUUCAUUCAGAAGACUUUACUUCCUGGUUGGAGGUAUGCUGGUGGUGCCUAGAGUUCCUACAAGUAGAAUGAGAAGCAGAGCUUUUUGUUGUCAGCUACUCUUGACUCUGAGCCAGUCACCCCCAUAGUCUAUCCGUCUUCUAAUGUCUACCUCUAACAGAAGGUAGACAUAAUGCACCUUGUCGUCACAAAACUCAAAUCCAUCCGUUAGACUCCAACUACGUGAAUGCAGCUCUAGUGUAAAGUGUUUUGAUUUUUCAGAAUGACUAGGAAAGGGAUAAAUAAAAAAAAGUCAAUUUACCCUGUAGUCAUAAAGGCAUGGAUGUGGUCAACAACAAGAGUUGGCCGGUCUGCGGGGUUUAAAGGGUGACCAACUGGUUCCCCACACCCUGACGCCACAACCCAGAUUUUGAAACACUGAUCCCCCUGAAUCCAUGAUUUCAUGUUGUUUACACCACAUUCUGACUUUACUAUCUACAUGUCACAACGGAAAUGAAGUGCAGCAGCACAUUUGCUUCAAGAUUUGACAUUUGUACUUAGCAUUCUGUACGCCUUGGUGAUAAUGAGUGGUUAUUAGAGCUUUAGUUACCUUUUAAUUAUCUCAGAGUACUCUGUCUGUCCUCCUCUUCUGACGUCAUUGAGGCAUUUUUGUCCUAACAACUGCCGCUCACUGGAUAUUUUCCUCUUUUUUCCAACCAUUGUCUGUAAAUCGGGGAGUUGUGCAAACAAAUACCUACAAAAAACUCAAUCCAGCUACUUUGACUUCACUAAAAUCCGUUUUUUUUCCUUCAUUUGAGUCUUUGUUUAAACUUCAGUAAGUCAGCCUCUGUCAUCUAGAGCCUUGAACAUACUUGACUGCUGCCAUGUGAUUAGCUCCCUUGCUAUGUGUGUAAACAAGCAACUGAGACAAAUUUUUAAUUUGAAUUGUAAAGAAGGGUUUCAAAUAAGGUCUACCGCUUUUGCAAAAACCUGAAAGAACAUUCCCAUGGAAGGUAAAAUAUCAU